AUGCCAAGAGAAAAAUGUUCGAUUUCCAAACAGAACCUGGAGCUUUUCUGCAGACCCUCUAAUGCUAAAAAGGGAUGCCCUGAACUCUUAUGGGAAUGUGUUAAAGCGGAGCACCAAGACACUGGGAAAUUGCCAGGCAGAGGCUAUGUUUGUACCAACUCCUCCUUUCCUUCUGGUAUAAAAGGAAAGAGGUGCUAUGAGUCAAAAACCUUAGCAGGUUUUCAAGAACUCUGGAAGGAAGCUAGAUACAUUAUAAAAGACCAGCCACACCAAAUGACUUUCACCCCACAAGCAGAUGAAUCAACAAAAUAUACAAUCCAAUAUCUCAGCCAUUAUUUUCCUGACCAAGAAUUAAAUAUUGGCUGGGACGUUGGCCAACCUUUGAAGAACAUGAUCUCCCAGAGAGUUUUCCUGCCUCCUGCCAUCCUUAGCCAAAUGUGCAAUACACCAAGAAGAAAUGGGGCAUUUUCUGGUUGCCGGCUUCCUAGGGUGGAAAAUAUGGGAAAAGAAGCAGGGAUUCAGCGUAGAAGUAAGUAUUUGAAUAUUGAGAGGGAUGACAAAUAGGAAACUCACAAGGUGGGCACAACACAGCUAAAAAUACAUCAUCGUAAAAGAUUAUAUAAAAGACACAAAACAUAUUUCUAUGAAAUUCAUAUAUUAAAAUACACAGAGCAAAGAUUAAAAUGCAAUAAACACAAGACGUGAAUUUAAAAUUCAUAAUUAAAAUUGAUUGGGUAGGCCGGCCAGAAGAGAUAGGUCUUUGGUUGUGUUUUAAAUUCUGACAGCUCAUUUAGCUGUCAACGCUCUUCUGGCAAGACAUUCCACAGUCGUGGGGCAGCCAAUUAAAAUGAGUCAGGUUAGGAUUUGCCCAAGGCCCUCUAAAACAGUAUUUUGCUGAUGAAAUGAAGGAGUAAUUCACUCCUUUAGAAAUCCUGACCAAACAGUUCUUUUCUGCUUUUUCUAUUGAGUUCACUCUAUGUAUAUUUUUUCUGUCUUGCCAGCCAGACAUGUUCUCCUUUCACCGACUAACACUUUUAAUGGCUAACAGAGGUAAUAAAGAAAAGUUGUUCAGAAAAAAAGGUAAUAAAUGAGGACAUUGAGAAAGUAAAACAGUUUUGCCUUCAGAGAAAAAGAGGAAUCAAGCCAAAUACAUUGUCUGUCCCUCUGGCUGUAAUUCAGUAAAUUGGGGGUCAUGACAAUUUUAAAAACAGCUCUGUUCAGAUGAUUGCUGCCCACUAAGUCUCUGAAAUAACUGAGAACACAAAGUUAAAAAGAAUAUUUAUACUAAUGAAAGUGCCUCUGUGGCAGUGGUUCUCAACCUGGGGUCCCCAGAUGUUUUUAGCCUACAACUCCCAGAAAUCCUGGCCAGUUUAUCAGCUGAUGGGAUUUAUGGAAGGUGAAAACAUCUAGGGACCCACAGGUUGAGAACCACUGCCCUAAGGGGCUUCCAGGACCACCUCAGUCUCAAGUAAAAGAAUCCUGAGGAAAAGAUUGACCACAAGAUGAAAGGUGAAUUAAAAAGGUAAAGCCACUGUUUAAAAAUUAUCUAGGGUUAUAGAAAUGUAUAGAACUUGUUUCUCAGGGUGAGUCAACCAAGAAAACUCACAAUGUUGCUUCAGGCCACCAAAUUGGGUUUGUAUAUUCUAAGGUAGGGAGCACAGCUAGCUCACCUUCAGCAACUAGGCAGAGAGAGCAAGCAAGCAAAUAACCUUGCAGCCCCAGAAAAUGAGUGGCAUCUCAGGGAAGAUGAAUAAGCUGUCCGUGAAUAGAGAGGUAGAAACAGAGCUAUCACAAUGCUAGCAUCAAGAAAGAAAUCAAAACAGGGAAUAUGUAACAUGACUUGGAUUAUUUAUAGGGACUGGUGGAGAGAUCAUAAAAUACAGUUAAAUCAGUUCCAAGUUAGUCACAUACUGAGGCUUCUGUAAAAAGAAAUUAUAAAAGGUUUAAGGCCAAACAGUUUAAAGAGACAAGUGUCAGCCUUAAAUUCAAUGCUAAAUCGAUAUGGGGAAAUGUUGUCAGUUCACCCAUAUAUUUUAGUACUGUGAACUACCCACAAGUUUUCUUUGUAGGAUCUAAAUUUAGUAUUGAAUGUGGCCAUUACUGCACCUUUGAAGCAAUAAAAGAGGCAUCACUAAAGUCAUUGACUUUUAAGGAGAUUUUUUUUUUGCAAUAUGAUGCUUAUGAAAAUGGCAAUGAACUAAUAAAACCUGAUAGAAUUCUGAACAUUAAGGAUUAGACUUUAUAUACUUCAAGAAUUAAAAAUUCUGGUGCUAUAAAAAUCCAGAGAGAAUCACUAUAUACAUACAUACAUACAUACAUAUACACAUACACACACACACACACACCUUCCUCAAGUAAUUUCUGACUUAAGAUCAUCUUAAGACAAGCCUAUGGUGGAGUUUUGUUGAGAAGAGGUUUGCGUAAGUUGGUGUGAAUUGCUCAAGGUUUCUAUGGGAUUUGGACCUAGGUUUCCCAGAAUCCUAAACCAGCACUCAAACCUCUACACAGUACAGCCUCUGGACUCAGUACAUUUCCUUUUCUAUUUUGUAAUAAAAAUGUCAACUAGGAGGAUAAUUUCAGGGAGGGGAGGGGAGAAUAAAUCAGGAGGAAAUCUAAGGAUUCUGCAGUGUAAGGCAAUCUAGAGACAAAGCCAGAGAGGUCAAAAUAACAUUUUAAUGACACUGAGAUAUUUACAAGCGUCAGCUGUUUAAGGAAUUGCAGUCAGGUGAUUUUAAACUUGAAAUAGUGCCAGAACCCAGCACAAUCACCAAAUAAAUUCUAUGAUGUUAUUUAUGUUACUGUUUAUUUUCAUUUUCUCACUUUUUUGUUUAUAAAAAUAAAAUUGCAAAGAAAUUAAAUUCGCUGCUAUGUUCUUUAAAUAACAAAACUGUACAUAGUAAAAACCUAAACAAAACUUGUAAAGCACAUCAAAUUAACACUCCAUACUUAAAUGCCUACCGAAAUGAAAGACAUGCAGAACAAGAGGCCUCUUUUUGAAUGGAGUCCAAAGAUAUCUGCUGACAUGCAGAAUCUGUCCCCUCAGCAGUGAGUCAUCUCAGGCCGGCCACAAUUUGGUGGGGAGAACAACAGGGGUUUUCCAUGUUAAGCAGUGUGGCUUACUUACUGCCAUCAGGCUGAAUACAUAGUAUCUUUCUUCGAAAAUAAGCAAUACGAAACUGGACCACCCUGCUCCAAAUGAUCAUCCUCAGAACUGGCAUUUGACCAUAUUGGCUGGCAGAUUUUGACAGUUGUAGUACAAAACUGUAACUUUUUCUAGCUAUGUAAUUUGCCUGAGGUUUUUUCUAAGGUUCAACUGUAUGAAUACAAUUGCAAUUUAAUUGUAUUAUCCAGGAUUGAAACUAAUCAAUUUUACAGAUCACAGCAUCAUCUAGGGCAGAACUUCUUUAACUUUUUCAACUUGCGACCAUUUCCCACCUGAGAAAUUUUAAUGUUGACCCCCAGAUAUAGGUAUAUAAAAUAGGUAUAAAAUCAAACAUUUACUGAUUACAAACCAGCAUUUGCAAAGCUUACUAAACAGUAUGAUUUUCUUGUUUCCUGAAGCAUCAUCUGCAGACUUCACUGUAAACACUGCACAACAGAUUUGUGUAAAUGUCUGAAACAGCCACUAAAUGAUAUUCAGAAAACUUUUACUGCCUGCCAAUUUUUGUGACCUCGACAUUGAGCAAAGGGGACUCCAUUUGGGAUCAGAAACCAGAGUUUUAAAAGCCCUGCUCUAAAGUACACAGAGCAAUCUUUCUGGAUUGUGAACCAAUUCAUCUUUAUUUUUCUCUUUAUUUGGAGAGGAUUUUGCAAGGUCAGCCAGGGCUACUCCUUUGUUGUUGUGUGCCUUCAAGUCAUUUGCAGUUUAUGGUGACUCUAAGGUGAAACUAUAAUGGAAUUUUGUUAGUAAGAUUUGUUCAGAAGGGAUAUGCCUUUGCUUCCCUCUGAGACUAAGAGAGUGUGACUUGCCCAAAGUCAGCCAGUGGGUUUCCAUGACUGAGUGGGGAUUUGAACCGUGGUCUCCAGAGUCAUAAUCCAACAUUCAAACCACUAUACCACACUGACUCCGCCAUUCUUUUCCACUGUAGAAAAUAACUUAUAUGCCCAAUGUGUGGAAACUGAAGGUGCUUUUAUAUAAUCUAGAAUGUCUGAAAUUAUUAUAAGAGAUCUUGUAUUAGAACUUAAGAGCAUAUGAAUCGAAGCUGUAAAAUUAGAGUUCUCUAUUUCAGUAAUACACCAAGUCCUAGUGAUUAAAGCUGAUAGCAAACAUUUCAGAGAAAUUAACAUUUAUUAUGGGAAGACAAUAACUUGUAAAUAACACAUUAUUUCCAGUAGUAUGUAGGCAAUACU
ensembl:lncRNA